GACGAACGCUGGCGGCGUGCUUAACACAUGCAAGUCGAGCGGAGCGGCGAACGGGUGAGUAUCGCGUGAGUAACUGCCCCCCCCUCUGGGAUAACAGUUGUAAUCGGCUGCUAAUCUCGUAUAGUGGGGUGGGACUCGCGUCCUAUCAGCUUGUUGGGGGGGUAGUGGCCUACCAAGGGGACGACGGGUAGCCGGCCUGCGAGGGCAACCAGCCACAUUGGGCUGAGAUACGGCCCAAACUCCUACGGGGGGCAACAGUGGGGAAUAUUGCGCAGUGGGGGAAACCCUAAUGCAGAAACGCCGCGUGCGGGAUGACGGCCUUCGGGUUGUAAACCGCUUUCAGCCAUGACGCGGUAGUGGCAGAAGAAGCACCGGCUAACUACGUGCCAGCAGCCGCGGUAAUUC
rnacentral:rRNA from 1 species